AAAAAAAUCGGGAUGGCUGGGCGUACGCCCAGCCAUCCCGUCGCCUUCCCAUCCCCCACCCACUACGCGUGAAGUGGGGGGCUCUGACCACCAACUCCAGGGGGUGGCAGAACCCCCCUCGCCGGGUUGUCCAAAAAAUUGGACAACCCGGCUCUUUAAAAACCCUGCAAAAAAGAGAGAGAAACAGCAGUUAGCCACAAAAAGGGGAGAGAAAGAACAAAAAGAAAAAGAAGGAGAAAAGGGUGAGAUCCGGGAGAAAAGGGAGAGGCCGACGGAAGGGGAGAUCCGAGCGAAG
rnacentral:lncRNA from 1 species